UACGGAGGGGGCUAGCGUUGUUCGGAAUUACUGGGCGUAAAGCGCGCGUAGGCGGACUUUUAAGUCGGGGGUGAAAUCCCGGGGCUCAACCCCGGAACUGCCUUCGAUACUGGAAGUCUGGAGUUCGAGAGAGGUGAGUGGAAUUCCGAGUGUAGAGGUGAAAUUCGUAGAUAUUCGGAGGAACACCAGUGGCGAAGGCGGCUCACUGGCUCGAUACUGACGCUGAGGUGCGAAAGCGUGGGGAGCAAACAGG
rnacentral:rRNA from 1 species